CAGCCAAUCGGAAGCCACACCUUGGUUUUUGAACGGUUCCGGGAGUUGAACGGACUCCUGGAAUGGAUUAAGUUUGACAACCAAGGUACCACUGUAAUGGCAAAAUUGCAGACCUUGCACAGUCCUGGCUAUAGGUAGCCCACUUUCUGGUCCCAUGUUAAGUCUGAUUGCUUACAGCCUUGUCCUUCACCCCAACUUCCUCAACUCACUGCCAGAAUGCUACCAUCGCUAUUAGCAGGAGUAGGGUGAAGAUGCUCCUUGGACAUUGAGCCAGUUCUCCCAAAUACUGUAGCCUUAGAGGUACUCCGUGGUGGUUUUCAUGUUUCAUCAUCCCAGGGGGAAAAGCAUUGAAAGUGUUGAAGAAGAAGAAGAAGAAGAGUUUGGAUUUGAUAUCCCGCUUUAUCACUACCCGAAGGAGUCUCAAAGCGGCUAACAUUCUCCUUUCCCUUCCUCCCUCACAACAAACACUCUGUGAGGUGAGUGGGGCUGAGAGACUUCAAAGAAGUGUGACUGGCCCAAGGUCACCCAGCAGCUGCAUGUGGAGGAGCGGAGACGCGAACCCGGUUCCCCAGAUUACGAGUCUAUUGCUCUUAACCACUACACCACACUGGCACACUGGAGGCAGAAAUGCAAACCCUCCAACAUUUCUCUGUUGAAAAUAAGGAUGUCCUAUUUUUUAUUAUUAUUAUUAUUAUUAUUAUUAUUAUUAUUAUUAUUAUUAUAUUUAUACUCCCGCCCAUCUAACUGGGUUGCCCCAGCCACUCUGAGCAGCUUCCAAAAUACAUAAAAACAUUGAAAAAAAUUAAACAUUGAAGAAAAACUUCCCUAUACCAUGGUUCCCAAUGUGGGGGGCACACCCCACAAGGGAGCAAUUUGAUUUUUAAGGGGGGGCAAUUUGAGAAUGAGUUAUUAACAGUUAAUGGUCUUAUAGGCUCCCUCCACAUGAAUAGGAGUUCACUUUUUGAAUAAUAAGAAUUAUAUGUCACACGAGGAGGGGGGAUCAGGAUUUUAGAGAUGCUUAGGUGGGGUGUGGCCAAAAAAAGGUUGGGAACCACUGCUCUAGACCUUCCAAAAUUUCUCUGUUGAAAACAGGGACAUCCUAAGGAAAAGCUUAGGACAUUCCGUUAUCAAAUCUGAAACUGCGAUGGCUUCUGUAAAUCUGGGCAGUGGUGUAGCAAAGUCAGGUGGUACCCUGUGCGGAAAAUUUCUUGUCACCCCCUCCCCCCCCACACAGUGAAAUUUACUCACAGUAAGGUAAAGGUAAAGGUACCCCUGACCGUUAGGUCCAAUCGCAAACGACUCUGGGAUUGCAGCGCUCAUCUCGCUCUAUAGGCCGAGGGAGCUGGCGUUUGUCCGCAGACAGCUUCCAGGUCAUGUGGCCAGCAUGACUAAGCCGCUUCUGGCGAACCAGAGCAGCGCACAGAAAUGCCGUUUACCUUCCCGCCGGAGCGGUACCUAUUUAUUUACUUGCACUUUGACGUGCUUUUGAACUGCUAGGUUGGCAGGAGCAGGGACCGAGCAACAAGAGCUCGCCCCAUUGCGGGGAUUCGAACCGCCGACCUUCUGAUCAGCAAGCCCUAGGCUCUGUGCUUUAACCCACAGCGCCACCCACGUCCCUGGUGCUGUUGUACUCAUGCUCUAUUUACCCAUUUCCCCCAGGCAACUGGUUGGCCACUGUGAGAAUGGGAUGCUGGACUCGAUGGGCCAUUGGUCUGAUCCAGCAAAGCCCUUCUUGUGUUGUUAAGAACAUGAACUUGGACACAGACUGAACACAAGCUGCAAGGCUUGGCAGUAUUCCACACACACUGUAACAUUAAAUUACUGCAAAUGAAGGGAUUUGGAGUCUGCCCUAUACAUCCUACUGUGUGGGCAGCAGCAUCUAGCCUGGCUUUUUUCCUCACCCACAAGGAAAGCAUCUGGAGAAGCAUGAAUUGACACACCAUGGCGUCCUGGGAUUCCAGAUCGAGUGAUCUCCCUGCCAAAUGCGAAAGCUGCCAGCUGCAGCGGUCUCCUCUGGGAUCACCCAGUCCCACAGCACGGGAGCAGCAUUACGGAUAAUUUCCUGGCCCAGCUGGGUAUUCUCGGCUCCUCGCUGAGCUUCGUUACCCGUAAUGAGUCAUUAAUCAGGGAAGGUUUAAUAACAACACUUGGCUCAUCAAUAGUGUCUUCUGUCUGACAGUUCUUUGCUCCCAACUGGAGACUGGCUACGCCCCCAAAACAGGCUGCCUUUGGGUGCUGCUGCAUCAGGGUCACUCUCCCCUUGUAAGG
ensembl:lncRNA